rnacentral:rRNA from 1 species
UACGUAGGUGACAAGCGUUGUCCGGAUUUACUGGGCGUAAAGAGCGCGCAGGCGGUCGAUCAAGUCGAGUGUGAAAGCCCCCGGCUCAACUGGGGAGGGUCAUUCGAUACUGAUCGACUCGAAGGCAGGAGAGGGAUGUGGAAUUCCAGGUGUAGCGGUGAAAUGCGUAGAUAUCUGGAGGAACACCGGUGGCGAAGGCGGCAUCCUGGACCGAGAUUGACGCUGAUGCGCGAAAGCCAGGGGAGCAAACGGG